rnacentral:rRNA from 1 species
GAUGAACGCUGGCGGCGUGCCUAAUACAUGCAAGUCGAGCGAACGGACGUGAAGCUUGCUUUUCUGAUGUUAGCGGCGGACGGGUGAGUAACACGUGGAUAACCUACCUAUAAGACUGGGAUAACUUCGGGAAACCGGAGCUAAUACCGGAUAAUAUUUUGAACCGCAUGGUUCAAAAGUGAAAGACGGUCUUGCUGUCACUUAUAGGUGGAUCCGCGCUGCAUUAGCUAGUUGGUAAGGUAACGGCUUACCAAGGCAACGAUGCAUAGCCGACCUGAGAGGGUGAUCGGCCACACUGGAACUGAGACACGGUCCAGACUCCUACGGGAGGCAGCAGUAGGGAAUCUUCCGCAAUGGGCGAAAGCCUGACGGAGCAACGCCGCGUGAGUGAUGAAGGUCUUCGGAUCGUAAAACUCUGUUAUUAGGGAAGAACAUAUGUGUAAGUAACUGUGCACAUCUUGACGGUACCUAAUCAGAAAGCCACGGCUAACUACGUG